UCACGGCCUAACACAUGCAAGUCGAGCGGACAGAAGGGAGCUUGCUCCCGGAUGUUAGCGGCGGACGGGUGAGUAACACGUGGGUAACCUGCCUGUAAGACUGGGAUAACUCCGGGAAACCGGAGCUAAUACCGGAUAGUUCCUUGAACCGCAUGGUUCAAGGAUGAAAGACGGUUUCGGCUGUCACUUACAGAUGGACCCGCGGCGCAUUAGCUAGUUGGUGAGGUAACGGCUCACCAAGGCGACGAUGCGUAGCCGACCUGAGAGGGUGAUCGGCCACACUGGGACUGAGACACGGCCCAGACUCCUACGGGAGGCAGCAGUAGGGAAUCUUCCGCAAUGGACGAAAGUCUGACGGAGCAACGCCGCGUGAGUGAUGAAGGUUUUCGGAUCGUAAAGCUCUGUUGUUAGGGAAGAACAAGUGCAAGAGUAACUGCUUGC
rnacentral:rRNA from 1 species